rnacentral:lncRNA from 1 species
GUUAGCAAAAUAAUAUGUUAAGUGUGCUUACGACGGAGUUCAUAUGAGAAUUCGGAUUGAAUGUAUGGUUUGGUAAAAUUAUGCAUUAGGAACUUGUACGUUAUGCUUCAAUGGUGCGAUGCUCGCCAUGUAUUUGAUGCGCUAGAUUUAUGGUAAUUAAAAGUGAAUGCGUAUGAGUGUGAAAUGAAUGGCUUAUUGGUAAACGAUAAUGUUGGAGUUACGUCGUGAACGUAUGUAAGACAAUAACUUUGAUUAAGUGAAUGUUGAACAAUGUGGUUGUUAGUUCAUGUUUAUCUAUGAUAAAGUUCGACUAUUAAGAGUCUAUGUAGUUAAAAGUUGGAAAUGGAUGUGAUAUGAAUGAACAUGCGGGCUAACUAUGAUAUGGGCAUAAUGACUUGAAAGGAUAGGAAUCCCAAAUUGAGAUGGACUCAAGUAUGGAAAGCUAACGGGUUAAGCGGAGGUGAGGAAGCAAGCAUGAACACUAAUGCUUAAGGUAGGUGUGAUUAAGAAAUUGUAG